CCUAAUCGCUUCUGCAAGUCGCUCUGGAUAAGAGCGUCUGCUAAAUGACUAAAA
rfam:Salmo salar isolate Sally breed double haploid chromosome ssa12, whole genome shotgun sequence.